rnacentral:rRNA from 1 species
UCAUAUGCUUGUCUCAAAGAUUAAGCCAUGCAUGUCUAAGUUCAUGCCGUAUUAAGGCGAAACCGCGAAUGGCUCAUUAAAUCAGUUAUGGUUCCUUGGAUCGUACUUUCCUACUUGGAUAACUGUGGCAAUUCUAGAGCUAAUACAUGCAGCAGAGCUCCGACCGUAAGGGACGAGCGCUUUUAUUAGACCAAAACCAAUCGGACCUCGUGUCCGUUUCUUGUGGUGACUCUGAGUAACUUUGGGCUGAUCGCACGGGCUCGUCCCGGCGACGUAUCUUUCAAGUGUCUGCCUUAUCAACUGUCGAUGGUAGGUUACGCGCCUACCAUGGUCGUAACGGGUGACGGGGAAUCAGG